GCUGAAGCUGGGAGCAUGAGGCAGGCAAGCAGAGAGGGGCUGCUGGACUGUAAUCCUGUUUGUGUUUCUUUGCAGGUACACAGAGAAUGAGCGGACAACCCAAAAGAGCAACCAUACUUGAACCUGAUACAGAAGCUUAUGCAAAGGGGUGAAGGUAUUUGAUGAGGAGAACUAUGUGGUCAGAGUGGUGGUGAAGAUUGCUUUGCCAGCAGGAUUUUGGAUGGGCUAGCAUGGAGUGAAUUAAGAAGCUAAAGGCAAGAAGGAUGCAGAUUUCAGUAGCUGAGGUGGGAACUGACCGAGACACAGGUGGGGGAAAAGAGUGAUAUUCACAUUGCAAUUCAAUCAAGAAGAAUUGCAAAACAAUCAGUGAUGAUGUGAUCCAUGGCCAGAAAGGGUUAAGCAUCCUGCAAGAGAAAUGACCUGAAUUCAACCUCUAGGAACAUAUUGGUAGAAAAUGUUUGUGUUUUGUGUGUUUACAUAUAUAUUGUUAGAGGUUAACAAUGUAACAAAACCGUUCCUGUCUAUGCUGUAUUCUGUUAAUUCAUAUAUCAAAGAGAUCUUAACAUUCAAAUGAACUGUAAAUAUAGUGAUAUCACUGUAUUGAUCUCUCUUUGAAAUGUAUAGAAAAUCACCUGCGAACGAUGAAAAACAGGCAAUUGCCUUAUGUUAAUCCUUGUAGCUAAUUACUGGUGAUGCUUAGGAAAUAAGCCUACUUCAAAGUCUCAGUGAUUGCCUAUUGCUCACCUAAGAACUCCGAGCUGUCAAGAGAAGGCCUAGAACUAUAUAAAAAAAACUUUUUGGGCAUGAUCCUUUUUAUUUCAGAUUUGCUUGAUGCUUUACACAGGGGAAGCUUGAGUCCUACGACUGAGAUCUCCAGUCCAACCGGGAUCACCCUGAAUAUGAACGUUGGACUAUAUCCUAUGGACAAAUUCUGAAAGAGCUCUGCAACUACAAAGCUCACCAUCUGUACUAUAAAACUGAUCUCAGAACUGUACUCAUGUCUGUAUGCAUCU